CGCGCGACUCGGGUUCCUGCAGGCUCCUGUCUUGAGCCCCGCGCGUGGAGCGGCAAAGUGGUUUUGCGCCUCGGAGGGGGAGGUGCACUUAGGACUAUGUUGUCGGGACAUUUUUGGUCUCUUACCAAGUAGACUGUAAGCAGCUCAAGUACAAGCAACAUGUACUUUAAGCCUCCAAACAGUUGAGGACAGGUAUUGACACAAGGCAUCCCUGCUGUGGCACAACAGGAUUGUCAAUAUCUCUGCAGCAUCAUGAUGCAGGUUUGAUCCCCAGCUCUGCACAGUGGGUUAAAGGAUGGGGAAUUCCAUAUGGCAUGGGGCGGCCAAAACCCAAAAAUAAAUAAGUAAAUAUUCUUCUCAAUAUCAUUAGUGAUGGUUCUAUGGUGUUCUUUAUAUGGAUGUACUAUCUUUAAUUAAUCGCUAACCUUUUGAGUAUUUAGGGUGCUUCCAUAUUCUCCCUAUAAAUAAUGCUCUGACACAUUCUUGUAACACAAUCUUUGUGUACCCUUUUUUUCCCAUCAUUAUAAUUACUACCUUCAAUUCAGAAUGCUCAAUUUUCCCCAGUGACCUUUUUUUUUCUGAGGAAAAAAAGCAGUCUCUGGCCAUGAGUGUAGGUUUCAGAUCUAUAGACCUCUGAGUACUCCAAACAAGGGAUGGGAAAUUUUGUUUGUUUUUUGAAGAUAUAAGUUCCUGUUUUGCAGCAGGAAAAGUAAAGCAAACCCAAGGGCUUAGUUUGCAUUGAUAUUAUUUAGAGCACAUAAUAAUUACCAGCCAUCUCCUUGCAGGGAUUAGAGAGUUGAUCUUACCACCACUCCCACCACACCUCCACUAUGCAAAAACACACAUGGUAUAUGUUGUGGAAGUGUGUUAUAUCCACCUGGAUA